CAGUAGCCGCGGUAAUACGUAGGCAGCAAGCGUUGUUCGGAGUUACUGGGCGUAAAGGGUGCGUAGGCGGCUUUUUAAGUUUGGUGUGAAAUCUCCCGGCUCAACCGGGAGGGUGCGCCGAAUACUGAGAGGCUAGAGUGUCGGAGAGGUAAGUGGAAUUCCCGGUGUAGCGGUGAAAUGCGUAGAUAUCAGGAGGAACACCGGUGGUGUAAACGGCUUACUGGACGAUAACUGACGCUGAUGCACGAAAGCGUGGGUAGCAAACAGGAUUAGAUACCCCGGUAGUCCCUGUCUCUUAUAC
rnacentral:rRNA from 1 species